UGGUGGUGUCUUUCAUCACCGCGGAGGAAAUGAGCUAGGGUUUUUGGCGAGCGGAGGGUUUAAGUUUAACAAAUAGCAGUACUACAGAAAAGAUUAGUAAUCGCAGAAAUCAAAACGAAAUGUCGUCCAAUUGCGCAAGAAGAUUACUUCAGCAAUCUUCAUCUUCCGCCAAGGCAUUCCUGAGUUCUGGCCCUCGAAUAUCUCUACCUUCGUUGCCUCUGGUAAACUAAGAUUGGGGACUACUUCCCCUGCCUCGCGCCUUUCCGUCGCCACAACCUCUUCUCUAAGUCCAGGGUACGAAUGGAACUGGCUUGCGGUGAGUCAUUGAUGCCUCUGCACUCCGUCACUGCUUCUGCAUUGUUAAAAUCUAUGCUGUCUUCAGAAGUGGGCCAGUGGGGUCGUCUCUCUGAAGGAUUUGCAACACCACUAUAGCAGGGCCUUUGAAUCAUUCAGCUCACAAACACUUGGAACAAUAUUAAUGAAAAUUGCUCUCUUUCUUUUCUGUUUUCUAGCGCAAGAAUAAGAUUCUUGUAAAACUCCCCAGUGAAAAUUAAAUUUGUGUAUUUCAGGAGGUGCUGACUCGUGAUGUACAUGCUCCUUUAUAAGGAGAAUUUCAUUAGCAGCAAUGCUUUUAAAUUUAGCUGUUCUUCCAACUGGUUUCAUACUCAUUUCCGUCUGUAGUCAUAUGGCUGGUUGCAAUUAGCAGUCUUCAUGUUCAAGGCGGUGAUCUAUAAUCAUUAUAGGUGCUUGUAUCAUCAGGAGAUCGACAUCUCCUGUUUGCUUGUAGUCUUAGGAGCAUAUCAUUGUAUUCAUUUCCUCAUUAACCACAUACUGCUUUUUAGAUCAUUGGCCUACUUGUUACAGAAAGCGGUUUAUGCAUUUGUAGUGCCACUAUAUUCUUGG